GUAAAUAUUUCUGCUCCACAGUAGACAGAAAUGGACAGAGUUGAAGAGAAACAGGCUGUGUAAGACAGUGACUGACAGCAGCUGAUUGCCGGGAGCACCCCACCCCCACCGUGCAUUCCCACGUUUAUAAAGGAGGCAGCCGUGACACUAAGCCAAGGGUUUGAAAGCUCUAGAAGCUCACAGGCAGUCUGUACUGAUACACCUUAAGGCCAUCCAACCAUCCUGCUCUUCAUCUCAACUCCCCCUAGACUUAUCAUCCACUGAUGAUUCCUGCCCCACCCGGUUGUUACUUGUGAUGUUGGCAAAGCAGGGUUUCCAGCUCUGUCGGUCCCUGCACGUCGACCAGUCAGCUCGCGGCCGCUCAUGCCAGCUCAUGGUGGUCUACUGAUGAAGACUGCUGGUGCUGUGAACCCAGUCCCAGGAGGGUCUCACUGUCUUGUGUGCUCUCUGACUUGAGCACCUUUUACUCCGAAUCUCAGGUUGAGUCCCUGGGACACGCUCUCUGGAAAAACACAGCAAAAGGGAUAAAAGGACUCACCAGUCAGAACAUUUUAAAUGACUCUUUAGAAAUUGAAGUGCAACACUUUAAAUUGAAAUCAUAAACGACACAUGUUUGGCCAAGGAGUGAAUCAAAAGGCUCCCUGAAAUGGAGCUUCCCCAGGAACUUGGUCGAGGCCAUCGGUGAAGAAGCAGGCUGCCCCCUGGGGCACCCCGGGCACAGCUGUUCACACCGUGUGUCAGGUCACACCAGGUGACAGGCAAUUGGUUCAUCAGAUGGCCCGGAUGGACACCAGCUGGGGAGGCUCAGAGAAGGUGGUUCUCUGCUAUUUACACUCAAGAGGUGGGUUCUUCCAAAGGGAUUCAGUUUGUCACGUGGACAAACCAAGGCUACAGAAAGGCAGGAACAGUACCAGAGAUUUCACUUGCCACAUAAGUGGUCCUCCAUGUAUGUUUCUUUUUCUUUCAACUUGCUGCUUCAGUUUCACCUCUUUCUUGAAAUAUUUCCAGGCUAAUAGCUCUUGGCAUGUUAUCAUUGGGUAUAUUUCCCCUGCAGCUGUUGGAUACACACAGGGACAACAAUUUUAGUAUCAGUCAUUGAUAUAAAGCUUCAUCGUAGUUAACCACUUCAUUUUAUUAUUAUUUGCCCACCUGGCAGUUAUGUACAUCACUACUUAAGAAAGUGUUUCAAUUUUGAGUCUACUUCUGCUCAGGUAAUUUUUUAAAUGUUUAUUGAAAUUAAGGUCUAUCCAGAAACAUGUAUAUCUUUUUAUUAAUACUAAUAGAAAUAUCACUAUAACAUAAUAUAUAACAUAUUUAAAAUAUAUUUAAUAUCCAAAAAAUCUGGUAAGUUUUAUAGCUUUAAUAUUGGUCCUGUACCUUUUUAUUCUAAUGUUUUAUGGAUUUUAUGAUUUUUAAUGUUUUUCUUUUCUUUGAUGAACAUCUGUGUUAUAGUUUGGGGCUAGAGCGAAUAAAGCUGCUAUAAAAUUCAUGUACUAGUCUUUUUAUGAAUACAUGCUUCCAUUAUUCUUGGUCAAAACCUAGGUGACAGAUUGCUGAGUCAUACCUUAGGUAGAUGUUUAGUUUUAUAAGACGAUGUCAACCUGUUUUCCUAAACUGGUUUUUCUAUUUCAGAUACUUCCAGCUAUAGAUGAGAAUUCUGGUUGCUGUACAUCAUGACUAACACUUGGUAUUAUUAAUUUUAUUUUUAAAAUUUCAGCUUUUCUAAAUGCUUAUAAAGCUGUGUCUACCUGUGGUUCUAAUUCACAUUUCCUUGACAGCUACAGAUACAGAAAUCUCUUUCUGUGUUUGUUGGACAAUCAUGUAUCUACCUUGGUGAAGUGGCUGUUCAAAUGUUUAAUGGAUUUAAAAGUUUGGUCAUUUUGCUUCUUAUUAUGGAGUUGUGAGAUUCUUUAUAUUCUGGAUCUGAAACUUUUUGGAGAUGGGUCUGUGGACACCAGUGGGUCUGCAGGAUGAAAAUUGUUUUUAAAAUAAUACCAAACCAUUAUUUGCCUUUUUGUUAUGUUGACAUAUGCACUGAUGGUAAACAAGCACACAAACAAACAGGAAGGGUGGGAACGCCACUGGCUCCUCAGCACGAAUCAAGGUGGUGCCACCAAACUGUGCUAGUGGUCAUUGUAUUCUUCACUGUCACCCACUGGUAGUUUUAGAAUAUGCCUGUUUUAUGGAAGAGUGUAUUGUAACUUAUGAUACACUAACGUUAACCUAUUUUGAGUGGUGAGGGCAUUAAUCUGCUUAACCACAGGCUGACAAAGGAGAUUUAAAAGACAAGAUGUCAUGUGUGGGGGGACACAUGGGAGUGAGGGAGAACACAUGUCACGAAGAAAGAGUAAGUCAAAGAAUAUAGUGAUUUAGAGGCAUAUAAAUGUCAUUUACGUUACUCUCCUUAUGUCACCAACGUCCGUGGCUUCCUCGGCUGGUAUGGUUAUAAGAGCUGCUGUGCACUGUCUAUAACAGUAAUGAAGCUGUCUUUUAUAUGCAUCUCUAACCUCACGUAGCGGCGAUUGGAACCCGCUCCACCACGCUGGAAUUCCAGGUACCACUAGCUUAGGGCCUUCCUGAGAGGAGAACCGGUUUCUGUUCUGAGAACCGUGAAGUGCUCUCUUGUGUCACUGAACACCGUUAAGGAGCUGAAAAAUCUCUUCCUAAAGCAAAAACCUUUCAGCAGAAAUCAAUGAUAUUUUAGGGGUUUUUUGUUAAAGGGGUAGGGUCUUUAUAAUUGGCUUGAGCAAUGAAAACACCAUGCACUGAAAGAAGCGGUGUGAGCA